rnacentral:rRNA from 1 species
CCUACGGGAGGCAGCAGUGGGGAAUAUUGGACAAUGGGGGAAACCCUGAUCCAGCGACGCCGCGUGUGUGAAGAAGGCCUGCGGGUUGUAAAGCACUUUCAGUGGGGAGGAAAAGUCCAUGGCGAAUACCCAUGGACCUUGACGCUACCCAAAGAAGAAGCACCGGCCAACUCCGUGCCAGCAGCCGCGGUAAUA